rnacentral:pre_miRNA from 1 species
AAUAAUCGUAGCCAUGAGUUUCCGCGUCCAACUUUAAUCGUCCGUUUUAUUUAUUUUUUUAUAGUUAGUAUUUUUAUUGCUAUGAGAUGAUAAAACAUAAAUAUUACUUUACUCGUGACUUAUGUUUUAAGUGUUUUGAAUAGCUCCUAUAUGCAUGCAUAAAGCCGUCGAUGUAGUGCAUAAUCUGCAC